GGGCACGGGGGGCGUACGGAGGCAGCAGUAAGGAAUAUUGGUCAAUGGGCGCAAGCCUGAACCAGCCAUGCCGCGUGCAGGAAGACGGCCCUAUGGGUUGUAAACUGCUUUUGUCAGGGAAUAAAUGUAGAUACGUGUAUUUACUUGAAGGCACCUGAAGAAUAAGCAUCGGCUAACUCCGUGCCAGCAGCCGCGGUAAUACGGAGGAUGCAAGCGUUAUCCGGAUUCAUUGGGUUUAAAGGGUGCGCAGGCGGAUUGGUAAGUCAGGGGUGAAAUCCCACAGCUCAACUGUGGAACUGCCUUUGAUACUGUCAGUCUAGAGUAUAGUUGAAGUUGGCGGAAUGUGUCAUGUAGCGGUGAAAUGCUUAGAUAUGACACAGAACACCGAUCGCGAAGGCAGCUAGCUAAGCUAUAACUGACGCUCAUGCACGAAAGCGUGGGGAUCAAACAGGAUUAGAUACCCUGGUAGUCCACGCUGUAAACGAUGAUUACUCGAUGUUGGCGAUACACAGUCAGCGUCUGAGCGAAAGCAAUAAGUAAUCCACCUGGGGAGUACGAUCGCAAGAUUGAAACUCGAAGGAAUUGACGGGG
rnacentral:rRNA from 1 species